rnacentral:RNase_P_RNA from 1 species
GUAAGUCAGAGAGCUAACUUCGGGACUGGCUUUUAAUUAAGCAAGUAUCAAAAAUAUGGAUACUGGUUCUGAGGAAGGUCCGCUCAUCCCUUGAAAAAGGAAAAGGCUAUUCAUGAAAAUGAACUGUCGCGAGGCAGGGCAAUGGUACAGAAACGCCACAGCUUUCACAGAGUAAUGAAUCAUGCGACGAACUUUGAAGUGAAAGAUUUGAUGAAACGAGCAUCCUGGCCGGUGCAACUUCAUAAGAAGGCAUAGUUAAAUGUUAGCACAAACGGUUCGGCUUUAAUGCAACGACGUUUGACAGAAAGUGGCCUACUCUGACUUAU